rnacentral:rRNA from 1 species
AUUGAACGCUGGCGGUAGGCCUAACACAUGCAAGUCGAACGGCAGCACAGUAAGUGCUUGCGCUUACGGGGGGCGAGGGGCGGGCGAGUGAUGAGAACAUGGGUGUCUGCUUUUUAGAGGGGGAGGACGCGGGGGCAAUUACGCUAUAAGUGCAGAGGGCGUACGGGUGAGAGCAUGGGAUCUUCGGCCAUUACGCGAGCGAAGGACGCAAUGUCGGAUUAGCUAGUUGGUGGGGUAAAGGCCCACCAAGGCGACGAUCCGUAGCUGGUCUGAGAGGAUGAUCAGCCACACUGGAACUGAGACACGGUCCAGACUCCUACGGGAGGCAGCAGUGGGGAAUAUUGGACAAUGGGCGCAAGCCUGAUCCAGCCAUACCGCGUGGGUGAAGAAGGUCUUCGGAUUGUAAAGCACUUUUGUUUGGGAAGAAAAGCAGUAAGUUAAUACCUCGCUGUUUUGACGGUACCAACAGAAUAAGCACCGGCUAACUUCGUG